UACACAGCUUUAAUUGUCCGGGAGGGAGUCUGUUAGAAAGAAUCAGGGCUACGGGAAGGCAGCAACGCGCACGUGUUAUUGUUGUAUUACUGGGUGGUACUGAACUGCACUGCUUUUACAUUGGAAAGCUGCUGUAGUUCUACGAAGAGGAUGGCGAGUUUGCGCAUCGUUGUAGCAGUCACUGCAAUUGCUAUACACUUAUGCCUGACUACUGCGGCAGUGACGAAAGGAAAAGCGACACGUAAAGUACCGAAGAUAAAAGAGGGUCAACCGUGCGAUGGCGAUAACCAGUGCCAGCGUGGAUUGUGCUGCAUGCGCCCCAACAUUGAUAAUGGAACAGUGUGCGCAAAGUUGGCCAGAUUGAACGAAUCAUGUUCGAAUGUUAGGCUUAAAGAGGAUCGCGAAGUACCUUCCUGUCGAGAAGACGCCGAAGCGGCAGGAUCGACAACAGAGGUGUACAAGCCUCCUUAUGAUGGAGCGUGCCCUUGCGGAAAAGAUCUCGUUUGUGAGCUCGGGGAAAAAAAGAAAGGAAACGCCGGAAAUGAAGUGGAAUCGUUAGGAAAAGAAGAAGAAGUAGCACUUGGAAAGUGUCAAUCGAAGAAAACUAAACGCCCCAAAAAAGAAAGCUCGAAUAACGGGCUAUAGAGAAAUGUGCCUGUAACCCAUACGUUACAAUUAAUUAGUUGCCAUAUCGCCUACAGAAUAAACGCAUAUAUUUAGUC